rnacentral:ncRNA from 1 species
ACCAAGGAGUCUAACAUGUGCGCGAGCCGCGGGGCAGUACGAAACCCGUAAGGCGAAAUGAAGGUGAACGCCGGCGCGGUCCGGCGGAGGUUGGAUCCCGUCCCGUCGGGGCGGGCGCACUACCGGCCGAUCUUCUCCGCCCUGUCGGCGAGGUCGAGCGAGAGCGUGCAAGUCGGGACCCGAAAGAUGGUGAACUAUGCCUGAGGAGGUUGAAGCCAGAGGAAACUCUGGUGGAGGACCGUAGCGAUUCUGACGUGCAAAUCGAUCGUCAAAUUUGGGUAUAGGGGCGAAAGACUAAUCGAACCGUCUAGUAGCUGGUUCCCUUCGAAAUUUCCCUCAGGAUAGCUGGCGCUCUGU